UACGGGAGGCAGCAGUGGGGAAUAUUGCACAAUGGGCGCAAGCCUGAUGCAGCCAUGCCGCGUGUAUGAAGAAGGCCUUCGGGUUGUAAAGUACUUUCAGUCGUGAGGAAGGUGUUAAGGUUAAUAACCUUAGCAAUUGACGUUAGCGACAGAAGAAGCACCGGCUAACUCCGUGCCAGCAGCCGCGGUAAUACGGAGGGUGCGAGCGUUAAUCGGAAUUACUGGGUGUAAAGGGCACGCAGGCGGUUAAUUAAGUUGGAUGUGAAAUCCCCGGGCUUAACCUGGGAAUGGCAUUCAAGACUGGUUAGCUAGAGUCUUGUAGAGGGGGUAGAAUUCCAUGUGUAGCGGUGAAAUGCGUAGAGAUGUGGAGGAAUACCGGUGGCGAAGGCGGCCCCUGGGACAAAGACUGACGCUCAUGUGCGAAAGCGUGGGGAGCAAAC
rnacentral:rRNA from 1 species